GGACUACUGGGGUUUCUAAUCCUGUUUGCUACCCACGCUUUCGCGCCUCAGCGUCAGUACCGGUCCAGGUAGCCGCCUUCGCCACUGGUGUUCCUCCCAGUAUCUACGCAUUUCACCGCUACACUGGGAAUUCCGCUACCCCCUCCCGGCCUCAAGCCUCACAGUUUCAAAGGCAGUUCCUCAGUUGAGCCGAGGGAUUUCACCUUUGACUUACGAAGCCGCCUACGCGCCCUUUACGCCCAAUAAUUCCGAAUAACGCUCGCCCCCUCCGUAUUACCGCGGCUGCUGGCAC
rnacentral:rRNA from 1 species